AUAGUUUGCUAUGUUUUCUUCCUUUGAAAUCAAAUUGGAAGAAAAAAAUAGAGCCCAUGCUUGUUGCUUCUGCCCCAUGCACUCACACUGUGUGGAGCAGGUCAGUUAUCCUUGUAUCUAAAGUUCUGGGGAUUGAACCCGGACUCUGCAUACGCUAGGUAAAUGCUCUACUAUUGAGCCAAGACCUCGCCUCCCAGAGCAUUUUGAGGACAUAUGGAAUCACGCAGUUGUGUGAUGGCUGCUGUUUGUUCUUGACAAGCCUAUGUGGUGAAAGCAUUGUGCUAGGGGAGAGGGAACAGGGUCUACUUAAACCAGGCUGGUCUCAAACUUACUGUGAGGAUGAACUUGAACUUCUGCUCUCCCUGCCUCCUGCUCUUGAGCUGGGUAUGAAAUAUAAAAUGCAAGACUUUCUGCAUGACACAACUAAGUUAUUUCUCAAGCUCCUCUUUGGUUUUAAAAUUGUGUCUGUGUGCAGGUACCUGUAGUAUUCAGAGGUACCAAAACUCUGGAGCUAGAGAUCAUAGGUGGUUUUGAACUGCCAGAUAUGGGUGAUGGAAACAAACUCUGGUCGUCUGCAAGAGUAAUUGUUCUUCUAAUUGCUGAGCCAUCUCCACAGCUGUCUGUAUAUCUAUAACUACAUAUUUGUAUGAGACAGAUGCUUGCUUAUAGCCCCAGGCUAGCCUCAAAAUUAUAGCGGUCUUCCUGCCUCAGCCUCCCAAGUGCUGGGCUCGCUGUGUGCUAAGCUAAGCUGGUAAUGGCGUGCUAGGGAUCAUUUUAGAGACUUUGGGGAAGAUGAGGUGAGCAGGGAGCUAGUCUCUAACUAUUUGGGUAGACUUCCUGAAUAUGAUCAAGCACCGUUCAUCAAAAACUUUCUGUUGAUCUCAACACAUCUUACUCUUCAUCCAAGUGUCCCAUUCUUACUGCUGUGUGUGACCUUCCUUAUGGUAAUUCUGGACCAUCUGCAUCCUUUCUGACUUGCUCUUGGUGGAUGGGAAGCCUAUCUUAUGUGAGAGAAAAGGUUUUCAGGCUGCUUUUUCUCUACCAGGAGAUUAUCUUGUAUAUCUUGUGGAGUAGGUGGUACUCACUUGGACCAUGUGGUUCCAUCAGCCUCUCUUCUGUGCACAUGGUUUCCUGGUUUGAAAGGGUAACAGGAUUUCUGACGACAAAAGACACGGCCUCAGAUGCACUGCUGACGAAGGCGCUGGGAGAUUUCCUUGACACUGCACUGAUCAUUUCCAGGCACAGCAGGAAAGGGACAAUCCAGAUGCUGGAUUCCUUCAUACUUAGUUUAGGACGGCUGGUGGUGGAUGGCACCGUGGAGCUCUCCAUUCAUCAGGAGGCACUGAGUACUCUGAACUGCAUUUUGGACGCUGCACCCCGGGAAGAGAGAAGAAAGCUCUCUUCAGCAGAAGGCACGUGCAGUCUUAUGAGAGAAUGGGCAAGGACAAUCUUGACCGUGGGAGAUUAUAACCAGCAGGUUGCUCUAUCCGAGGCAUUGUGUAGAAUGACCGUCGGAAAACUGAGGAAUGAGCUUGCUCUCCAGUGGUUUGAUGAUGCAGUCCUGGCUGAAGCUUUCAAAGAAAUUAGGAACCGGGAAUUUGAGACGGACUGUCGGCAGUUUCUCAAUUUCCUGAAUAACCGAUUCGGAGAUGAGAGGAGGGUCUACUCAUUCCCAUGUGUGGCUGCUUUUGCUGAUGAUCAGGAGUUGAGAAAACCAGCAGAUGAAAAACUAGAGGAAUUUUGGAUUGAUUUCAAUCUAGGAAGCCGGAGUGUGACUUUUUACAUAGAUAAUGGAGAGAGUGCUUUGUGGGAGCCAGUACACCUUCCGAAGGAAGCAGUGCUCAGGUUCAGUGUAACGGAAAGUGAUAGGAUGAAGAUGCUCAUCAUUUUCCUGAAGGAGCCAAUUAUUAUCAGCAAGAAAGAAGCAACGACAAUAGAAAUCCACUUCGACAGGCAACUUGACAUAUCACAAGCUUCACUUCGGGCUUUGGGAGGGGACACACAGACUCCUGUUUUGAUACAAGUUUCCCCCGGCCUUGAAAAAGAAGAUGGUGAGAUUCCUAGUAGCCCCAAACAAGAAGCAGAGCACGCAGAAGAAUGCACAGCCCUGCCAGGGUUUGUGGAUGAUGAGGAUGACCGUUGCAUCAUAACCCGCAGAUUGACUGUUCAGUCAGAGCUUGCUACACAUUCAGAAGAUCGUUCACCUAAAACACUAAAACCACAGGACCCCAAACAAGAAAUUACUUCAAAACAUGAGCAUUCUUCACAUGUGCAAGAAUCACCAGUUCGAACUCAGGCUUCUCAAUUAGAUGAUGUGAAGGACGAUUCUGCCUUCAAGAGGGACAGAGAACAAGACAGGAGGAUGCUGUUUAAUUACAGGAAACAUCACUUUUCCGAGAGUAAUGAAGAUUCAGGUUCAAGUGCCAGUGAACGAUCUUGGACCCGGAAUAAUUACAAACGGAAAUCCCUAAGAACAUAUUCCCAGAGAAGGAAGCCAAGAGUCAGGUCUCUAAGGAUCCUACCGCUUUCCCCCAUCAGUAGUGACAGAGCUCGUGAGAAAGAUCAGGUUACGCUAACACCAGUAUGGAAAGGCAUCUCCAGGCAAAAUACCAUUCUUCCAACAUUUUCUGAGACAAAACUACAAGGUAGUUCUGUGCUUUUAACUCCUGUGGCAUCUACACCAAAAAUAGAACUUGGAAGUCCUCAUCCAUCAGGCAGUUUCUCUUCCUCAGAGCACCCAGAAGUUGAAGAAAAUGUCCGUCAGAUUGUGAGCCAAGAAUUGUUCAUGGAAAACAGCUGCAAACACAAGCUGGAAAAUUCAGAACACAGAGAGAUGCCAGAUGGAAGUAUUGCUGCCCCGAAGCAAUCAAGAUUAGAAGAUGCUCCAGGAUCCCCCGCUGUGACAGAUAUUUCUACUCCAUCCCAAGAAGAUGUGCCAGAUAGUGCAAAUAGCUCUGCUUUGAAAACAGCCCUUGAGAACUUCACUAGAGACAUGAAAAGAAAAUUUGAGCUCAAGCAGAAAGAAAUUCCACUUUCUUCAGAGAAGGCGAAGGAAGUGCCAGGCUGCCUCGUCAGACUUUGGAACCAGAUAUACAUGCGCAGACUGAACGAGCUGGAGAGGUUUCGCAGUUCGGCUCUUCAGGAGCUGAGCAAGUUGGAGGAGAAUCUUCAGGGUCUCAAAUGCCUCGAAGAGGAUGCUCUGGAGUUCUGGGAGAAACAGUGGGCUGACUUGGAGUCAUUCUGUGAUCAGCAAGAGCUGAGGUUUAACUCAGCUCAGCCUUUAUAAGGCUAGCCAAAGCCUGGCUUUAUGACUGCACCCCUCAGGUAGGUACAGACAUUGACGUUGUUCAGUCUUUGUGAAUUAAGCCCUGAAAAAACCCUGAUGCUUUUUACUUCCUUUCUGUUCUGAGCUUCCUCCAGCCCUACACUUAGGGCCUUGGGUCAGUCAUUCAGUCUUUAGAGUUGUGCCUGCCCCAGUUUAUCAAGCACUGUGCUAAACACAGAGAUGCGGUGGCUGUUUAGCACGCAGAUACAUUCCUGCCAAAUCAAAGUUCUAAGCCUGUGAGAUGGCUCGGUAGGUAGAGGCAUUUGCUACUGAGCCUGAAAACCUGAAUUCAGACCCUGGAACCCACAUGGUAGAAGGAAAGACUCCUGGAAAUUGUUCUCCAACCUCUGCACAUGUUACACACGCAUAUGCAUGCACACACACGCAGACACACACAUGCUGGCACACAGGCUCAUGUUCACAUUCGUAUGCACACAGACACGCACACACUCACUGGCAUGCAGGCUCAUAUUCAUACUCGUAUGUGUGCACACACACAUACACACACCCAAAAAAUUAAAACAAUAACCUGUUACUAGAGAGAUGGCUCAAUGGUUAGGAGCUCUGCUGCUUUCCAGAAGUCAGUUCCCAGCACCCACAUGGAGACUCGCACUCAGGAUCUGAUUCCCUCUUCUGGACUAUGUGGACACCGCAUGCAUAUGGUGUGCAGACAUGUUACAUGCAGGCAAAAACCCACAUAUAAAAUAUCACAUAAUAAGUCCAUCUACAAAAUAACCUUAUGCUUGGGACAAUAGCCUGAGGAGGGAGCUGGAGUCUGUGGUGCCUUGGCGCAGGAGCUGCCCUUCACAGCUAUGCUCCUUACCAGCUGCUGAGCCAGGGCGGGAGAGGGAGGGAUGGGGCAGGCUCACAGUUCCUACUGCGUUAUCCAUUAGUUCACAGAAACUAAGCCUUUUAUUCAGAUGUGGCCUAAUAAUAGAAAAAUCCAAGAUGUUCAGCAAUUUCAAGCGGUUUACUUUUCAUGUAAUUUAUGAGGAGUAAACUUUAUUUUAACUGGAGAAAUGCCUUUGAGUUUUGCGGGAACCAGACCUUUAGCAGCAGCAUCUGCAGAGAGAUUAUUUUGUAAACCCCUUUUAAAGGAAAAAUAACCUGAAAACAGAACGCGAUGGGAUCAGUUUGACAUGAAACUGUAAGGGGCACAGCUUUGCCCUUCAGGCAUUUCUGCUGCCCCAGCUCUCUACUCCAGGCAUGCUCAGUAGAGGAGAAAUACCCCCCCCUCAGGCCACUCCUAAAGUCUCCCAUGAAGUUUGUGUGCAGAGGGCUUCAUGGACAGUGGGGCAUCUGAAUCUAUUUUAGAGAAAUUAAACAAAGCCCAUCUCAUCUAAGGCCACUCACGAAGUCAGAUGGGUUGUGGCUGGACCAGCCGGGACGGUGUAUUGAGCGGUUAUGUUCUCAAUAAAAUUCAGCGAGCUAUGCUAUUGAUUGCAUAUUAAUUUGCAGUUUUCUUCUAAUACAAACGUAUGUGAUCCUAAUUGAAUUGUCGAGGUUUUUUUUCUUUAUAACUUUUAAUGACGUGUGCUUUAGU